GACGAACGCUGGCGGCGUGCUUAACACAUGCAAGUCGAACGGUAAGGCCCUUCGGGGUACACGAGUGGCGAACGGGUGAGUAACACGUGGGUGAUCUGCCCUGCACUUCGGGAUAAGCUUGGGAAACUGGGUCUAAUACCGGAUAGGACCACGGUCUGCAUGGAUUGUGGUGGAAAGCUUUUUGCGGUGUGGGGAUGGGCCCGCGGCCUAUCAGCUUGUUGGUGGGGUGAUGGCCUACCAAGGCGGCGACGGGUAGCCGGCCUGAGAGGGUGUCCGGCCACACUGGGACUGAGAUACGGCCCAGACUCCUACGGGAGGCAGCAGUGGGGAAUAUCGCACAAUGGGCGCAAGCCUGAUGCAGCGACGCCGCGUGGGGGAUGACGGCCUCGGUUGUAACGUACUUCUAGCAUCGACGAAGACGCAAGUAGACGGUAGAUGCAGAAGAAGG
rnacentral:rRNA from 1 species